rnacentral:rRNA from 1 species
CCGAUAAGGACAUACCGCGUGAGGGAGGAGGUCCUUGGAUUGUAAACCUCUUUUAUCAGGGAAGAAGUUCUGACGGUACCUGAUGAAUAAGCAUCGGCUAACUCCGUGCCAGCAGCCGCGGUAAUACGGAGGAUGCAAGCGUUAUCCGGAAUUAUUGGGCGUAAAGCGUCCGUAGGUGGUUAUGCAAGUCUGCCGUUAAAGAAUGGAGCUUAACUCCAUAGGAGCGGUGGAAACUGCAAGACUAGAGUACAGUAGGGGUAGCAGGAAUUCCCAGUGUAGCGGUGAAAUGCGUAGAUAUUGGGAAGAACAUCGGUGGCGAAAGCGUGCUACUGGGCUAAACUGACACUGAGGGACGAAAGCUAGGGUAGCGAAAGGGAUUAGAUACCCCUGUAGU